AAUUAGGGAUAGGUGAAUGUGAUAAUACAUAAUAGAUAAUGAUGCAGAGUAUUUCCUGGUGAUCAAGAAUUAGGAGCUGCACACAGUUUAAUGAAACCAUAUUUUAGGAACAGAUA
rnacentral:sRNA from 1 species